rnacentral:rRNA from 1 species
AGAGUUUGAUUAUGGCUCAGGAUGAACGCUGGCGGCGUGCCUAACACAUUCAAGUCGAACGAACUGUAGAAAUACAGUGAGUGGCGGACGGGUGAGUAACGCGUAAGCAAUCUGCCUUUGUGUGUGGAAUAACAACCGGAAACAGUUGCUAAUACCGCAUAACGCAUAGGAGUCGCAUGGCUCUUAUGCCAAAGAUUUAUCGCACGAAGAUGAGCUUGCGUCCGAUUAGAUAGUUGGCGGGGUAACGGCCCACCAAGUCUACGAUCGGUAGCCGGACUGAGAGGUUGAACGGCCACAUUGGAACUGAGAUACGGUCCAGACUCCUACGGGAGGCAGCAGUGGGGAAUAUUGGGCAAUGGACGAAAGUCUGACCCAGCGACGCCGCGUGAGGGAAGAAGGUCUUCGGAUUGUAAACCUUAGUCAACAGGGACGAAGCAAGUGACGGUACCUGUGGAGGAAGCCACGGCUAACUACGUGCCAGCCGCCGC